rnacentral:rRNA from 1 species
AGUGAACGCUGGCGGCAGGCCUAACACAUGCAAGUCGAACGGCAGCACAGUGGAGCUUGCUCCAUGGGUGGCGAGUGGCGGACGGGUGAGGAAUACAUCGGAAUCUGCCCAGUCGUGGGGGAUAACAUAGGGAAACUUAUGCUAAUACCGCAUACGACCUACGGGUGAAAGCGGGGGAUCGCAAGACCUCGCGCGAUUGGAUGAGCCGAUGUCCGAUUAGCUAGUUGGCGGGGUAAUGGCCCACCAAAGCGACGAUCGGUAGCUGGUCUGAGAGGAUGAUCAGCCACACUGGAACUGAGACACGGUCCAGACUCCUACGGGAGGCAGCAGUGGGGAAUAUUGGACAAUGGGCGCAAGCCUGAUCCAGCCAUGCCGCGUGGGUGAAGGAGGCCUUCGGGUUGUAAAGCCCUUUUGUCCGGAAAGAAACGUCUCGGAUUAAUACUCUGGGGUAAUGACGGUACCGGAAGAAUAAGCACCGGCUAACUUCGUGCCAGCAGCCGCCGUAA